rnacentral:rRNA from 1 species
CCUACGGGAGGCAGCAGUGGGGAAUUUUGGACAAUGGGCGCAAGCCUGAUCCAGCAAUGCCGCGUGCAGGAUGAAGGCCUUCGGGUUGUAAACUGCUUUUGUACGGAACGAAAAGGCUCUGGCUAAUACCUGGGGCUGAUGACGGUACCGUAAGAAUAAGCACCGGCUAACUACGUGCCAGCAGCCGCGGUAAUACGUAGGGUGCGAGCGUUAAUCGGAAUUACUGGGCGUAAAGCGUGCGCAGGCGGUUUGGUAAGACAGGUGUGAAAUCCCCGGGCUUAACCUGGAAACUGCACUUGGGACUGAAAGGCUGGAGUACGGCAGAGGGGGAUGAAAUGCCGCGGGUAGCAGUAAAAUGCGUAGAUAUGCGGAGGAACACCGAUGGCGAAGGCGGUCCCCUGGGCCUUUACUGACGCUCAUGCACAAAAGCGGGGGGAGCAAACAGGAUUAGAUCC